AUCAUAUAUGAAUAUAUUGAACAGUAUUAGUUCCAGUCCAGAUCUUUGUGGCACCCUGCUAUUUACCUUUGUACAUUGUGAAAACUGUCUAUUUAUUUCUACCUUUUGUUUCCUAUCUUUUAAUCAGUUACUGAUCCAUGAGGGGACCUUCCGUCUUCUCUCAUGACAUCUUACUUUGCUUAAGAGCCUUUGGUGAGGAACCUUGUCAAAGGCUUUCUGAAAAUCUAAGUACACUAUAUCCAUUGGAUCCCCCUUGUCGGCAUGCUUGUUGACCCACCUCAGGAGGUGCCUCUUGCUGCAUCAUUGCUAUAUUACCCAUGUGAGGUGGUGCUGUAGUUGCAUCAUGGUUACAAUUUCUCUCUCUGGUGAUGCAACUACAUGCACACGUUCUUUAGAUAUAUAUUAUACACACGUUCAUAUUUUCAUGACCAUAACCUGUAUACAUAUCUGCUAAUGGCCAUCAAUUUCAGAACAUUACAAGCUUUCAUAAAAGACCUUACUUGACAUGUUUUUGUACACCAUAACAUUACACACAACCAGUUGAGUCAGUUGCUUAUUCUUUGGGAUUCAGAGAUCCCCUGUUCUCCCCUAGAAGUGUCUGGACCCUGAUUGUCAUAGUCAAAUGUGAACAAGUUGUGAGAGCACUGGAAAAUGAAGUUAGUCUUUAGCAAAAGUAUUGUUUUUUCCUUAGCUUUCCUUAGUGAUAAAAGGAAUAUUUACUUAGUAGCAUGUGUUAAACAGGGACAGAACUAUAAGUAAGGCUGUGAGUUUGUCACAGAUUCUGUGACUUUCCAUGCGCUCCAUGAUUUCUGCAGCAGCAGGUGCGCCUGGCUCAGGGCAGCUCUGGCAGCUCCUGCACCCGGUGCACUGGCCACUGCUGGG